rnacentral:rRNA from 1 species
AGGAUGAACGCUGGCGGCGUGCCUAAUACAUGCAAGUCGAGCGGUAAGGCCCCUUCGGGGGUACACGAGCGGCGGACGGCUGAGUAACACGUAGGAACGUACCCCAAACUGAGGGAUAAGCACCAGAAAUGGUGUCUAAUACCGCAUGUGCUCUUCGGAGUAAAGCUACGGCGGUUUGGGAGCGGCCUGCGCAUGAUUAGCUUGUUGGUGAGGUAAUAGCUCACCAAGGCGACGAUCAUUAGCUGGUCUGAGAGGAUGAUCAGCCAGACUGGGACUGAGAACGGCCCAGACUCCUACGGGAGGCAGCAGUAGGGAAUUUUCCACAAUGGGCGAAAGCCUGAUGGAGCAACGCCGCGUGCAGGAUGAAGGCCUUCGGGUUGUAAACUGCUUUUAUCUGUGACGUAUUUUGACGGUAGCAGAUGAAUAAGGAUCGGCUAACUCCGUGCCAGCAGCCGC